AGAUAACUUCCAGAAGCAGAAUAUGAAAACAGAAUAUCACAACAGUAAGAUCUGUAAUAGUAGAAUUCUAUGUUUUUAUUGAACUUUAAACUGAAAGAGAGAAUGUAAAGCUUUAAUACACCCAAUAAUGGUAUAUUUCACUUAAGGAGCAGAUUCCACCAAUGAUAUAUUCUGGAACAAUAUCACCUGGUAAAGGCAGAAAGCAUUUCAAAGUAAGAAAUGGCAGAAGAACAUUGCAGGAAGAGAAAGAGAGAAAGCGUAACAGAAUUGUCAGAGGGAAUAUUACCACACGCAUGAAUGGCCUCAGAGCACAUAAUUUUUUAGAAAUACAUUCUUUCUUUUACACCUCAUGCUUUUCCUCAGNCCUUCUCCUUGCUGAUUGCUUGCCAUGUGUCCUUGUGGUCUAACUAACUUUUCUCCCCUAUCCAGCUCAGCAUUGUUUUGGGUUUCAUUUUCUUUGCACGUUACAAUGCUUCCCCCAUUUAAGACAACCUUGUCCUCAAGGUUGAAAUCUGGAAAAGAUUUUUGUAUCUCACUUACAUCCUCCCAAGUAGCAGCAGCUAUAUCAAAUGAGUCCCAUUGAAUUAAUACUUGCGGAACUGGUUGUGAAUUUCUCAUAAUGAUUGGAUGAACACAUGGACCAACUUCAUUAGUUGUAAGGGGCAAGGGUAAAUAGGUGUGUGAGGGACUACCCUUAAAUGGCUUAAGCAAGGAUAUGUGGAAUACCGGGUGAAUUUUAGCAAUAUCAGGAAGCUUAAGUUUAUAAGCAACACUUCCAAUCCUGGCUACNACUUNAAAUGGACCAAAAUACCGCAUACUUAGUUUCUGAUUUCUCCUUAAGGCAACAGAAUGUUGUCUAUAAGGUUGUAACUUGACGAGUACCAAAUCACCAACAUCAAAGUGAAAAUCCCUUCGUCUUUUAUCUGCUUGUUGUUUCAUGUACUGCUGGGCCUUAGCUAGAUUAAAUUUCAAUUGCUGCAGUAGUGUAUCUCUAGCUGUGAGCAUAUCCUGAAUAGAAACUGGAUCAGUAGAAACAGUUUCAUAUCUGAUGAUAGUAGGAGGAUCUCUACCAUAUAAGGCCUUGAAGGGUGACAUUCCAAUACUCUGGUGCAAAGAAGAAUUGUACCAAAAUUGGGCCCAUGGAAGCAUAUCAUACCACCCUUUUGGAUUGUCAAAAACGAAGCAUCGAAGAUACAUUUCUAAGGUUUUAUUCAAGACCUCUGUCUGUCCAUCCGAUUGUGGAUGGUAUGAAGAACUCAUAGCCAAUGUAGUACCUUGAGCUUUGAAAAGAUGUUGCCAAAAGGAGCUAAUGAAAAUUUUGUCCCUGUCGGAAACAAUGGAACGAGGUACACCAUAUAAUUUCACUAUGUUGUUAACAAAAGCUUCAGCAACUAUCUUACUUGAAUAUUCAGCCUUGAGUGGAAUGAAAUGACCAAACUUGGAGAGUCGGUCUAUAACCACCAUAAUUGUUGAAUAUCCAUGCGACAUAGGCAAACAAGUGAUGAAAUCCAUUGCUAUAUCAUCCCAAACAUGUACUGGAAUUGGCAAAGGCUGAAGUAACCCUGCUGGUAAAGCUUGUUGUACCUUAGCUUGUUGGCAAAUUUGACAUUCACGAACAAAUUUUCGAAUCCUCUGUUGCAUUCCAGGCCAAAAGAAUUGAGAACAUAUUCUAGCCAUGGUUUUUGCAACUCCCGCAUGUCCUCCUACCUUUGAAGAAUGAAAUUCCAAUAACACCUGAAUUAUAAUAUUCUCCUCGACUGGUAACAUGAUACGACCCUUCCAAAACAAUAACCCAUCCUUAAUCCUAUAAUCUUGGGACUGUAACGGAUCUGCCAAACAUUGAUCAUAUAAUUCUUUCAACCUCACAUCUUUCUGAAUUGCUGCAACCACCACUUUAAACCAUUGAUUUGUUGGUUCGGACCAUGCCAUCAUAACACUCCGUGAUAACGCAUCAGCUGGUACAUUCUCCUUUCCCGGUUUAUAUUGAAUUGUGAAAUCAAAGCCCAAAAACUUCGGUAACCACUGCUGCUGCUCUGGAGUUUGCAAACGUUGUUCUACCAAUUCNUUUAAACUCUUUUGAUCUNUUUUAAUAAUAAACUUGUGGCCAAUAAGAUAGUGUCUAAAUUUCGCCAACGCCUCAGUAAUCGCAUAAAAUUCUCGUGUAUAUGCAGAUUGCCUUUGCAUUCUCACUGACAAUUUCUUUGAGAAAUAAGCUAUGGGAUGAUUANCCUGACUUAANACGNCUCCUACCCCCAAGCCAGACGCAUCCGUUUCCAAAAUAAAAGGAGCGGAAAAAUUGGGUAUAGCCAAAACAGGUGCUGUAGUGAGAGCUUCUUUCAAUUGCGUAAAAGCCUUGGUCGCUGUUUCAGUCCAUUUAAAAGCAUUCUUCUUCAACAAAUCUGUUAAUGGAGCUGCUAUUUGGGCAUACCCCUUGACGAAGCGGCGGUAAUAACCUGUAAGACCAAGGAAACCUCUCAGCUGUUUCAGAUUAAUUGGUCUUGGCCACAUUUUAACUGCCUCCACUUUUUUAUAAUCCAUAGCAACCCCAGAACCUGAGAGUGUGUGACCAAGAUAAUCUAUUUCCUCUACUCCAAAUGAACAUUUGGAGAACUUAGCAUAUAAUUGAUGAUGCUGUAAAAUCUGCAAAACCACUUCUAGAUGAUGCACAUGUUCCUUCAAUGAUGAGCUAUAGACAAGGAUAUCGUCGAAGAAAACUAAAACAAAUUUUCUCAAUAUUCCUUGAAAAAUAUGAUUCAUCAGGCUUUGAAAAGUAGCUGGAGCGUUUGUGAGUCCAAAUGGCAUGACAAGCCACUCGUAAUGUCCAUGAUGCGUACGAAAAGCCGUUUUAUAACAAUCCUUCGGAUUCAACAAGAUUUGAUGAUGCCCCGAUCUCAAAUCGAACUUAGAAAAGAUUGUUGCACCAAAAAGUUCAUCAAUUAACUCAUCAACAGUAGGUAUUGGAAAACUAUCCUUUAUAGUAAUAGCAUUCAAUGCUCUAUAGUCGGUACAAACUCUCCAAGACCCAUCCUUCUUUUUAACCAAUAGAAUAGGUGAAGAAAAGGGACUCUUACUAGGUUGAAUAAUCCCUUCCUGAAGCAUCUCUGUAACAAGCCUCUCAAUUUCCUCCUUUUGACUAUGAGGAUAACGAUAUGGCUUAACCUUAACUGGAUUUGAGCCUUCCAGUAAAGGAAUGGAAUGAUCGUGAGCACGCUGUGGAGGCAAAGUUGAAGGUGUAGCAAAAACAGAACUAUAUGUAUGCAGCAAUAAUGCAAUAUCAGGUGCUAUAGUCUCAGACAAUUCCAACAAAGGAAAAGAUUGAAUAUUGGGGUCCACCAUUUGCAUGCUAUAAACCUCAGCAAUGGAAUUAGUAGUGACCAUUCUGCGGAUAUGAUGCAAUUGAGCCUGCAUCGGUACAUGCUCAACAUCCCCUUGCAAUGUUACAAACUUACCAUUAUACAAGAAUUUGAGAUGCAAAGCUGCAUAAUCAUCCACAUGCGGGCCUAACGUUUUCAACCAGUUAGCUCCCAAAAUAAGAUCUGCACCUGAAAUUGGAAGCAAAUAUACUGGAAUUUGGAACACAUUCCCUUGAGCAUGUAAGUCUAGUUUUUGAAUCAACCCUUCUNCUNCCAUAUAAUUGUCGUUCCCAACCAUAACUUUGAACAUGGGAGCUGGUUCUAUAGGCAACUUCAAAAAUUUUGCAAGNCGAGGUUGUAGAAAAUUAUCUGAACUCCCUCCAUCCACUAAAACAGUCACAGGGAGCUUGUUAAUAUAAGCUAAAAAUCGAAUUGUACCCACCCCAACUCCUCCUUUGAGUGCAUUAAGUGAUAAAUGAUGGUCUUCACUUCCAACUUCUUGAGUAACAAUCUGGUGAUCAAGAUCAGGCGGUGGUUCAUAAUUAGGAUCCAACGAAUCUUCCUCUAAAUUCAAAAACAAAUACCGUCGAUUUGGGCAGCGAUGAUUAAAUGUAAAUUUAUCAUCACAAAAAUAACACAAGCCCUUUUCUCUGCGGAGUUGCAUCUCAGCUGGAGAUAUUUUUUUGACAUUAUUAUUAGUCACGGGUGGAAUCNUAGGUUUGGGUAAUAAUGGUGGAAGACUUGGUUUAACCAUUNGUUUGGAUUGUUGCNNUGAAGUAUGAAAACUCGUUGCAGCCACUGGAGAAUAACGUCGAACCGACACUNGCGAAGAUUGAAUUGUGGGUGAGUANCGAUCUUCAAAUAACUUCGCCAAGGCUACUGCUCGCAUCAAAGAAGUAGGUGUUUGGGCGACCACAUCACGUCUAAUUUCANCAUGUAACCCACUCAAGAAACAAUUUAAUAAAGCUUCAUUAGAUAAGCCCAUUGAUCUGUUUGCCAGUGACAUAAACUUCAGNUAAUANUNUGAAACCGUACUCNUUUGNUGUAAUUUAAACAGCUCUGCCAUUGGACAGUCAAAAGGAGAUGGACCAAACUGAGAUUCCAAUGCGCGUGUCAANUCUGUCCANGAGUGAACUGCANACAACCGUUGAAGCAUUUGAAACCAAGGCACCACAUCGUUUUCGAAAUGCAUUGCAGCAAUGUCUACUCGAUCNNCAUCAGGGGUAUGGUGGUAGUUAAAGAAUUUUUCAGCCUUAAAAAUCCAUUCUAACACCGAUGAUUGACCAUNGAAAUNGGGAAAUCCCAAGGAUAUGUCCUUAGCNGGUAANGGAACAUGNGAAGAAGCNGCUCCNGAAACGGCACCAUNGAACUGAGAUUGCGAUUUCACUAUUAACUCUAAAGAUUGUUGCAAUUUAUCCAUACGAGCUUGUGCAUCAACCUGAACUUGUUGGGUAUGAGCUCGUUGUUCCCUGUCCCGAAGUUCUAGAAGAUCCAUCAGUUUUCGAAGUUCAUCGGAAUGACCACGUACUUCAGCCUGUAAUUCCUUCAAACGGGUGUUCUCAGCCAUGGCGUCAAUGAAAGCACCAAAUGAAACAGAUAACUUCCAGAAGCAGAAUAUGAAAACAGAAUAUCACAACAGUAAGAUCUGUAAUAGCAGAAUUCUAUGUUUUUAUUGAACUUUAAACUGAAACAGAGAAUGUAAAGCUUCAAUACACCCAAUAAUGGUAUAUUUCACUUAAGGAGCAAAUUCCACCAAUGAUAUAUUCUGGAACAAUAUCACCUGGUAAAGGCAGAAAGCAUUUCAGAGUAAGAAAUGGCAGAAGAACAUUGCAGGAAGAGAAAGAGAGAAAGCAUAACAGAAUUGUCAGAGGAAAUAUUACCACACGCAUGAAUGGCCUCAGAGCACAUAAUCUUUUAGAAAUACAUUCUUUCUUUUACACCUCAUGCUUUUCCUCNGNNCUUCUCCUUGCUGAUUGCUUGCCAUGUGUCCUUGUGGUCUAACUAACUUUUCUCCCCUAUCCAGCUCAGNAUUGUUUUNGGUUUCAUUUUCUUUGC
rnacentral:lncRNA from 1 species